AGUUUGAUCCUGGCUCAGGACGAACGCUGGCGGCGUGCUUAACACAUGCAAGUCGAACGAUGAAGCCUUCGGGUGGAUUAGUGGCGAACGGGUGAGUAACACGUGGGAAAUCUGCCCUGAACUCUGGGACAAGCCUUGGAAACGAGGUCUAAUACCGGAUAUGACCGUGGAGCGCAUGCUCUGUGGUGGAAAGCUCCGGCGGUUCAGGAUGAUCCCGCGGCCUAUCAGCUUGUUGGUGGGGUAAUGGCCUACCAAGGCGACGACGGGUAGCCGGCCUGAGAGGGCGACCGGCCACACUGGGACUGAGACACGGCCCAGACUCCUACGGGAGGCAGCAGUGGGGAAUAUUGCACAAUGGGCGAAAGCCUGAUGCAGCGACGCCGCGUGAGGGAUGACGGCCUUCGGGUUGUAAACCUCUUUCAGCAGGGAAGAAGCGCAAGUGACGGUACCUGCAGAAGAAGCACCGGCUAACUACGUGCCAGCAGCCGCGGUAAUACGUAGGGUGCGAGCGUUGUCCGGAAUUAUUGGGCGUAAAGAGCUCGUAGGCGGCCUGUCGCGUCGGAUGUGAAAGCCCGGGGCUUAACCCCGGGUCUGCAUUCGAUACGGGCAGGCUAGAGUGUGGUAGGGGAGAUCGGAAUUCCUGGUGUAGCGGUGAAAUGCGCAGAUAUCAGGAGGAACACCGGUGGCGAAGGCGGAUCUCUGGGCCAUUACUGACGCUGAGGAGCGAAAGCGUGGGGAGCGAACAGGAUUAGAUACCCUGGUAGUCCACGCCGUAAACGUUGGGAACUAGGUGUUGGCGACAUUCCACGUCGUCGGUGCCGCAGCUAACGCAUUAAGUUCCCCGCCUGGGGAGUACGGCCGCAAGGCUAAAACUCAAAGGAAUUGACGGGGGGGGGGGGGGGG
rnacentral:rRNA from 1 species